GAUGAACGCUGGCGGCGUGCCUAAUACAUGCAAGUCGAGCGAACGGACGAGAAGCUUGCUCCUCUGAUGUUAGCGGCGGACGGGUGAGUAACACGUGGAUAACCUACCUAUAAGACUGGGAUAACUUCGGGAAACCGGAGCUAAUACCGGAUAAUAUUUUGAACCGCAUGGUUCAAUAGUGAAAGACGGUUUUGCUGUCACUUAUAGAUGGAUCCGCGCUGCAUUAGCUAGUUGGUAAGGUAACGGCUUACCAAGGCAACGAUGCGUAGCCGACCUGAGAGGGUGAUCGGCCACACUGGAACUGAGACACGGUCCAGACUCCUACGGGAGGCAGCAGUAGGGAAUCUUCCGCAAUGGGCGAAAGCCUGACGGAGCAACGCCGCGUGAGUGAUGAAGGUCUUCGGAUCGUAAAACUCUGUUAUUAGGGAAGAACAUAUGUGUAAGUAACUGUGCACAUCUUGACGGUACCUACUCAGAAAGCCACGGCUAACUACGUG
rnacentral:rRNA from 1 species